rnacentral:rRNA from 1 species
UACGUAGGGGGCUAGCGUUGUCCGGAAUCAUUGGGCGUAAAGAGCGCGUAGGCGGCUAGAUAAGUCCGGUGUGAAAGUCACAGGCUCAACCUGUGAAUGCCGCUGGAAACUGUCUGGACUAGAGUCCGGAAGGGGCGAGUGGAAUUCCUGGUGUAGCGGUGAAAUGCGCAGAUAAUCAGGAGGAACACCAAUGGCGAAGGCAGCUCUCUGGUACGUGACUGACGCUGAGACGCGAAAGCGUGGGGAGCAAACAGG